rnacentral:sRNA from 1 species
CGUCCUGAAACGCACCAGAGAAACCAACAAACACAACAUUACCCUCUCCCGCAUCUCUCAUGCAAAGUGUCCCAAAGAGGCUGGCAGAAUGGAAUUGAGCUGAGUCGCAAUGAGAAAGCAUACACGCCAUAAAGGAGCAUUCGAUAUAGAAGCAAUCACUCCAAGGUGAUCCGUGCCAUCAGUCAGUCAGAGGUGUAAAUCCCACGGGACGCAUGAGGUUCCUUUCAAUAAAAUGCAGAUGGGAUUGUUUGAGAGCCGCCUCGCAUGUGUUUAUCGGUUACUUCUGCCUCGCUGCUUAUGCAGAUUUAUUCUGUGAAGCUUUGAACACUCGGUGACUCGGAAUGGAGAAUUUUCAGUUUAGUAAAGCACACAGUUCCUAAGUGUUAUUUGGAUGUGGAAUCUGUUCCUCUGCUCUUCCCUUGUUUGGAGAUAACGAUAUUUUCUGCUGCCCCAUUUGACAGAUUUGACCUCCAGCAUUUCAGUGUUAAUCUGAACUGAAACAAGAACAGAAACGAAGAAAAUGAACAUGGAUCAGGAAUAUCACAUGUGCGCAGAGCGAGAAAACCUGGACCGACCGAGGCAGACACCGAGGGGGAUGAGCAGGACAUCACAGGGAUCACAGCCUGCUUGGGUUGUGUGAUGUGGUCGAGCAUUUGGAAGACCAUUACAAGAAGGUUUAUGGAAAAGAUCUGUUGAAGUGGUUAGAAUGAAAAUACGCAGGGUAGGUAGCAUCAAGCUAAAUGAUGAAGGUGUUCUUCAGAGAUAAUUAUUCAAGAAUGGACUUUGAUACAUGGACCGUAGGAACGCCUGAGCAUAUGCAAGUGCAAAGUCAGGGGGACUCUGUGGUCAAUUUCGAGUGCUAACUCUUUUGUUAGUAACGGGGUCGGCAACAGUUCAGAGCACUCGGGCAGCUGCCCUUACACAAGUGUCUGUGUGGUGCUCCCAUGGCAUCUGUGCAAGAGUGUGUCUUUUGUGAUAGUUCUAAACCAUCAAGAACAUGUGCCUGAGAAUCUAUCUCUAAGCACUCCUGAUUUUAUUAUUUUG